rnacentral:rRNA from 1 species
UACGGAGGGGGCUAGCGUUGUUCGGAAUUACUGGGCGUAAAGCGCACGUAGGCGGCUUUGUAAGUUAGAGGUGAAAGCCCGGAGCUCAACUCCGGAACUGCCUUUAAGACUGCAUCGCUAGAAUUGUGGAGAGGUGAGUGGAAUUCCGAGUGUAGAGGUGAAAUUCGUAGAUAUUCGGAAGAACACCAGUGGCGAAGGCGACUCACUGGACACAUAUUGACGCUGAGGUGCGAAAGCGUGGGGAGCAAACAGG